GAAAUAAAGUAGGAGCCACGAAAUGUCAUUUUAACAGAGCGUGGGUUUGGUGACUGUAGGAAAGGAUCUGAGGACGCUCCUUCUGCUCGGCUUCCUAUGUAGGAGCACAGGCUCCACGCAGGCACAGACGCCACAGCUCCCGGGUGCCGUGGCUCCCUGAUCGGGGAUUCUGCAGCGCCAGAAGCCCCUUCGGGAUGCUGCGAGGGGCUCCCGGUGGGCGGUGGUACGAACGCUGCGGCCGCCGCCGCCGCCAGUCCUGCUGCUGUUGUUGCUGCUGCAGUCACGUGGGAGCCCCUUUAAGUUUCCAUAGAGAGGCCUCUCCGGUGUCACAUGAUGGACAUGAUAUAAUGAAACAACAUUGUGGAGAGGAAAGCAUUAGGGGAGCCCACGGCUACGAAAACAAGUGAGUGAGAAGAGGUGGGAGGAAGAGAAACUACGCCACCUCUCCUGCAGCCGAGCGCACGCAGCAGCCUGGCGUGACAAGUGGGUGACGCCGGGGGGCAGGGAGCCGGGGGACCCCGCCGCCGCCCCCCGCGCGAAGAACAACUUCCAGCCGGCGGCCCCGGCCAGCACUGCACCUGUCCCCGGAGUCUGCGUCGCUCCUCGUCGUCAGCCCAGGGAGGCUCUCGGAGAGUGUGUUGUACAGAUCGACACGCGCAUCAUUUGUCCCCUCACCUCCCGCUCGGGAGGCAGGGACAGAGAAGGAUUUGAGCGGCGUGUGUUCGGGGCACAGCACCACCAGGCAUCCCUGGAGUGGGACUUCUACUCGGUUCUUGGAUUAAGGGGAAUGAAGUAGGAUUUUACCUCACUUGUUUUCAGGGAAUCUUUUCAUUGUGGCAAGCGUAUCUGGCUCUAAUAACUUAGGAAGACUUGCUUUGUGGGAGCAAAGGCAGCGAGUCAAACCAACAAGCCUGGAAAGGGGAAUUCACUGGAGCGUCUCUUCACGCUGUCAGGAGGUUUCCUAGGCAACCACUUAUGUAGUAAUUAAAAGAUGAGGAACUAAAAGUCUACCCUAGGUUGUACUGAAAUAUACCGUUCUGAGGCUCAAGGGAAACGGUGGAAGGGCCGUCCAUGGAUGGGGUGAGAGACCUUGCAGCAAGUCGAAAUGACCUCAGUUUGCUAGAAAUUUUCCUCCAACUCUUCACUCUCUUCCUUUCUGUGUGGGUUUCUAGCACUUGGUUGACCUUAAGGAUAUGAUAAACAUUUCUCUUCCUCUGUGAAACACUAACACUCCCAGACUUUAACAUGGACUUUCAUUAAAUUCCAUUUUAAUGAAUAAGAUGGCUUUUAUCUUUCAUGUGCUAGUGAAAGAGGAAAGUCCUACUGGGUAUGUGACAGACUCAUUUUCAAUAGUUGUAGAAAUAAUAAAUACCUGAAAAGAACCAGAAAUACCUCAAAAUAUCAGCAGUGCUAAUUUUAAAUUGGGUGGUGUUAUGGUCCUAGGUCAGGUGUUCCGUAGAAAUGUUAGCUGCAAGAUGAGAUACGGAAAAUGGUAGUUUUCCACCAGUGAGAGCAGCACCUCCCCACUCUGAGCUUCUGUGGGCUUUAUGAACUUUUUAAACUUACAGCCACAAUAAUUUGAAUUUUUUUGGACGCCACAGUUGAUUCCUUUCUGUCCCCAAUAACUUUGAUACUCUCCUACUGCAGAAUUGUGACAGAUUAAGUAGGUGAAUUUUGUUGUUAUGGUUUAUUUCUUCUCCCUAGAUACCAAGGUCUGUGGAAAAAAUUACGAGAGCAAACUCUGGUCUAGAGCCAAGGCUCUGGACUUUUCUUUUUUCUAUAGCAAAAGUGAAAUUAAAAAUUUUUUAAUCUCAAAAUGUAUGUACGUGUACUUAAUUCUUAAGAAAUCCAUUUUGACACUGACUUUUUAGUGGUAUUGAUGAUACA